rnacentral:rRNA from 1 species
GACGAACGCUGGCGGCGUGCCUAAUACAUGCAAGUAGGACGCAGUUGCGCAAGGAUGAGUAACGCGUAGGUAACUACCUAUUAGAGGGGGAUAACUAUUGGAAACGAAAGCCAAUACCGCAUACUAGUAGAUGGACCUGCGUUGGAUUAGCUAGUAGGUAGGGUAAGGGCCUACCUAGGCAACGAUACAUAGCCGACCUGGAAGGGGGAUCGGCCACACUGGGGCUGAGACACGUCCCAGACUCCUACGGGAGGCAGCAGAAGGGAAUCUUCGGCAAUGGGGGGAAGCCUGACCGAGCAACGCCGCGUUGGUGAAGAAGGUUUUCGGGUCGUAAAGCGCUGUUAUUAGGGAAGCGGUACUUAACCAGAAAGGGACGGCUAACUACGUGCCAGCAGCCGCGGUAAUAC